rnacentral:rRNA from 1 species
ACAGAGGGUGCGAGCGUUAAUCGGAAUUACUGGGCGUAAAGGGCGCGUAGGCGGUCUGGUAAGUUGGGUGUGAAAGCCUCGGGCUUAACCUGGGAAUUGCAUUCAAUACUGCCGGACUGGAGUAUGGUAGAGGGAAGUGGAAUUCCGGGUGUAGCGGUGAAAUGCGUAGAUAUCCGGAGGAACACCAGUGGCGAAGGCGGCUUCCUGGACCAAUACUGACGCUGAGGCGCGAAAGCGUGGGGAGCAAACAGG